rnacentral:rRNA from 1 species
GACGAACGCUGGCGGCGCGCUUAACACAUGCAAGUCGAACGGAAAGGCCUGCUUUCCCUUGUGGAUUGCGGGUACUCGAGUGGCGAACGGGUGAGUAACACGUGAGUGAUCUGCCCCCAACUUGGGUAUAAGCCUGGGAAACUGGGUCUAAUUCCCGAUAGGACUGCAGGGUGGUGCCUGUGGUGGAAAACGAUUUUCUAGUGGUUGGGGAUGAGCUCGCGGCCUAUCAGCUUGUUGGUGGGGUAAUGGCCUACCAAGGCGGCGACGGGUAGCCGGCCUGAGAGGUGGACGGCCACAUUGGGACUGAGAUACGGCCCAGACUCCGACGGGAGGCAGCAGUGGGGAAUAUUGCACAAUGGGCGGAAGCCUGAUGCAGCGACGCCGCGUGGGGGAUGACGGCCUUCGGGUUGUAAACUCCUUUCGACCGCGAGGAAGCCACCUGGUUGGAAGGGUGGUGACGGUAGUGGUAGAAGAAGCACCGGCUAACUACGUG